rnacentral:lncRNA from 1 species
UUAACUACAAAGCUGAAUACAGUGUGAUCAGCGGUGGAAAAGCUCUAAGACUAAUGAUGCUACCAGCAUGGGAAGUGUAUCUCUAUGUGUUUAUUACAGUUGGCUCUCACUUUUAUUCUUUCUAUGAAGUGUACAAAGUUUCUAGAAGUCCAGGGCCUUUUUUCUGUAAUCUCUCUUUCAUUCAGGACUGUACUUGUCAGUUCAACAAUGUGUACUCCUUACUUUAAGCACAAGAUUAUUUAGCUACUGAAGUAAGGAAAAUAGAAGAAAAAAACCCUCUGAAUUUGGUAUUUUCCAUGUUAAUCUUGAAGCCUAUCACCUGCAGCAUUUUUAAAAUCAGCAGCUGAGAAAAAGAUAUGCUUCAUGAUAUGCUGCAUUUUAAUUAGAUCUUAUGUUAUUGAUAUUUUGCUGCAGAUAAGAAGGAUCUCUUAAUAAAUACUGUGUAGUAAUUUAAAGAAAGGUUCUA